rnacentral:rRNA from 1 species
GACGAACGCUGGCGGCGUGCUUAACACAUGCAAGUAGAACGGAAAGGCCCUGCUUGCCUGGUCCUCGAGUGUCGAACGCGUGUGUAACACGUGUGUGAUCCCUCCUUCACUUCGGGAUAAGCCUGUUAAACUCGGUCUAAUACCCGAUAGGAGCCAUGUUUAUUGUUAUCGUUGGAAAGAUUUUUGGAGUUGGAUGAGUUCGCGGUCUAUCUGCUUGGUGGUGGGGUAAUGGCCUACUAAGGCGGCGGCUGGUAGCCGGCCUGUGGGGGUGGACAGCCACAAUGGGACUGAGGUACGGCGCAGACGCGUACGGGAGGCAACGGUGGGGAAUAUUGCAGAAUAGGGGCAAGCCUGAUGAAGCGGCGCCGCGUGGGGGAAGACGGGUUUCGGGUUGAAAACGCGUGUCGGUAGGGAAGAAGCUUUUUGUGACGGUACCUAGAUAAGAAGCACCGGCUAACUACGUG